rnacentral:rRNA from 1 species
GACGAACGCUGGCGGCGUGCUUAACACAUGCAAGUCGAACGCUGAAGCUCAGCUUUUGUUGGGUGGAUGAGUGGCGAACGGGUGAGUAACACGUGAGUAACCUGCCUCCUUCUUUGGGAUAACGCCCGGAAACGGGUGCUAAUACUGGAUAUUCACUGGUCUUCGCAUGGGGGUUGGUGGAAAGGGUUUUUCUGGUGGGGGAUGGGCUCGCGGCCUAUCAGCUUGUUGGUGGGGUGAUGGCCUACCAAGGCUUUGACGGGUAGCCGGCCUGAGAGGGUGACCGGUCACAUUGGGACUGAGAUACGGCCCAGACUCCUACGGGAGGCAGCAGUGGGGAAUAUUGCACAAUGGGCGCAAGCCUGAUGCAGCGACGCUGCGUGAGGGAUGGAGGCCUUCGGGUUGUGAACCUCUUUCGCUAAUGGUCAAGCCGCAACAAUGGUUGUGGUGAGGGUAGUGGGUAAAGAAGCGCCGGCUAACUACGUG